rnacentral:rRNA from 1 species
GUGAGGAAUAUUGCGCAAUGGAGGCAACUCUGACGCAGCCAUGCCGCGUGCAGGAAGAAGGCGCUACGCGUUGUAAACUGCUUUUAACCGGGAAGAAACCCCAGGACGUGUCCUGGGUUGACGGUACCGGAGGGAUAAGCACCGGCUAACUUCGUGCCAGCAGCCGCGGUAAUACGAAGGGUGCAAGCGUUAUCCGGAUUCAUUGGGUUUAAAGGGUGCGUAGGCGGAGCGUUAAGUCAGUGGUGAAAUCCUGCAGCUUAACUGUAGACUUGCCAUUGAUACUGGCGCUCUUGAGUGCGCUUGAAGUGGGCGGAAUGUGCCGUGUAGCGGUGAAAUGCUUAGAUAUGGCACAGAACACCAAUUGCGAAGGCAGCUCACUAAGGCGAUACUGACGCUGAGGCACGAAAGCGUGGGGAUCGAACAGGAUUAGAAACCCGAGUAGUCC